ACCACUGCAGCUUGCACACACACUGCGUCGGGCACUGGCCUGCAUCAGCUCAGUUGAGAGGACGUCAGACCCAAAUCCAGAAGUUCUUCAGUUUCUGCCAAAGUGUGAGGGAGACCAACAUCUGCUCCCCUUCUCCAUUUCUCAGAAAAAGGUGCUGUCCCACAGGACUCCCCUGGAAAUGGCUGGAGGCUUUUCUUUUCUUUUCUUUCCUUUUUUUUUUUUUUUUUUUUUUUUUUGGUGAGACAGAGUCUCACUCUGUCACCCAGGCUGGAGUGCUAUGGCAUGAUCUCAGCUCACUGCAACCUCCACCUCCCGGGUUGAAGUGAUUCUCCUGCCUUGGCCUCCCGAGUAGCUGGGAUUACAGGCACGUGCCACCAUGCCCAGCUAAUUUUUGUAUUUUCGCUAGAAAUGGGGUUUCACCGUGUUAGCCAGGCUGGUCUCAAACUCCCGACCUCAGGUGAUCCACCUUCCUCGGCCUCCCAAAGUGCGGGGAUUACAGGCGUGAGCCACCACCCCCAGCCUGGUGCCUUCUACUGGUGGUCUUAUUCCCCAGCACAGCGCCUGUUGCAUGAAGGGAUGAAUUAUAGCCCCUGGGACAAGGAGGAGACUAGAGAAAUGAGAAAUGUCAGUGUUCUCUCAGCAUCUGGGAUGAUAGGGAAAUGAAGGUAGCACAGGGGUUUUUUGCUGCUUCUAGGAAUGGCAGGCUUUUCUUUCAAGAAAACCAAACUGCUUUUCCUAAGGGAGGUAGGAUGUGGGUAAGCACUUUGCCCUCUUGUCCUCACCCUGUGACACCAGGAAACAGAUCUGUCUUGACGUUGGGAACUGUCAUGGGCAUGGAAAACCCACGUUUGGUUCCUUUUUUGUUGGCAAAAGGGCUUGAUAGGGGAUUGGCAAGGGAAAGAGCCCAGCGCUGACCUCUCCUUCUUUUUUUUUUUUUUUUUU
rnacentral:lncRNA from 10 species